CGAGCGGCGGACGGGUGAGUAACACGUGGGUAACCUGCCCAAGAGACUGGGAUAACACCUGGAAACAGAUGCUAAUACCGGAUAACAACACUAGACGCAUGUCUAGAGUUUGAAAGAUGGUUCUGCUAUCACUCUUGGAUGGACCUGCGGUGCAUUAGCUAGUUGGUAAGGUAACGGCUUACCAAGGCAAUGAUGCAUAGCCGAGUUGAGAGACUGAUCGGCCACAUUGGGACUGAGACACGGCCCAAACUCCUACGGGAGGCAGCAGUAGGGAAUCUUCCACAAUGGACGAAAGUCUGAUGGAGCAACGCCGCGUGAGUGAAGAAGGGUUUCGGCUCGUAAAGCUCCGUUGGUAGUGAAGAAAGAUAGAGGUAGUAACUGGCCUUUAUUUGACGGUAAUUACUUAGAAAGUCACGGCUAACUACGUGCCAGCAGCCGCGGUAAUACGUAGGUGGCAAGCGUUGUCCGGAUUUAUUGGGCGUAAAGCGAGUGCAGGCGGUUCAAUAAGUCUGAUGUGAAAGCCUUCGGCUCAACCGGAGAAUUGCAUCAGAAACUGUUGAACUUGAGUGCAGAAGAGGAGAGUGGAACUCCAUGUGUAGCGGUGGAAUGCGUAGAUAUAUGGAAGAACACCAGUGGCGAAGGCGGCUCUCUGGUCUGCAACUGACGCUGAGGCUCGAAAGCAUGGGUA
rnacentral:rRNA from 1 species